AAAUGUACGCUAAGACAAGAAACGAAAAAGAAGAAAAAGAGGAAGGUUAAGAUACCAAUUUAUUCGUAAAGAUAAAUGAGAAAAUAAAUUACAAGCUACCACACGAUUCCACCAAAUCGAUCAUUACAUAAAAUGAGGGUUUUCAUGGUUAUCUAACUAUGGAAUCAAACCAUAUGUACAAUAUAUUUAAAGUAACAAUCAAAUUAAAACAAACAUGAAUAAUGACGAUACCCUACAAAUUACAAUACCGUGACUAACAACUACCCAAACAAAGCGUUAGAAGAAUUGGAGAAACCAAAAAGAGAAGAAAAGGAGGAAGGUAGAGAUACUUACGGAUUAGCCAUUUUAAUGUUGCUGCAAAAGAUACAAUAUUUGGGGGGUGAAAUUUGAUGGUCAAUCCUAAAAAACUAUAUUGGAGCUUUUAUUGCAUGAUGAGCACUGACAAAUUUAGUAAAUGUACGUCAUCGCUGACGAGCUAUUUUGGAGUAGCUAUAUUGAAAUUAAUAAUUUGAUAAUUAGUUUUAGUUAAUUAUUUGAUUUAUUAUAUUAAAAAUGAUAUGUAUAACAUAAUUUAGAAGAUCUACAUUUUUACAUUUCAAGUUCUUUCCUUUUUUUAUGUUGUAUUAUUUAUUUAAUAUUUUUAGAUUUUUCUUUUUUUUUUUUCCUUUUUCUUCUAUUCGUUCUGUUGCAAAAUGUACUUAGACAUGUUUUCAUAUAGUAUACAUAAUAUAAUCAUAGAUACAGAUAUUUAGGUAUUCUUUUGAUUUUUUUUUUCAUAUAGAUUUGCAUGUACAUAUAUAAAUAGCAUGAUAUUCUUGCAUAAUACUACAGGGAAAUUGCUCCAUUAUCUCUUAUUUUACAGGUAAGAGCAUUGACCAAAGAUCACAAAUUCUCAGAAAAUUAAGGAUAGAACUACAAUAUCAAAAUGGUGCUUGCACCACUGGCGGACUGUAUGCAUCUUAAAUGCUUAUUAUUAGUUUUACUGGUGAGAGGUAGUAGGUAUCCUAAGAAAUUAGUCAAAAGGUAUGCAUACUGGUGUAGUAUAUUACAAUUAUCAAAAAAGGAAAGAUAUAGGACAAGAAUAUGAAUAUGUAUGUAGAACCUUGAGUAUGGUCCUAUAUAUUUCAAAAUAAAUGAAAGUGACAAUUAUGAGACAAAACUUGUAUUUUGCACAAACUAACAGUUGAUCUUUCUACAUCAUUUAUCCUUUUAUUUUGUGGAUGAAGUAAUAGUUGAAUUUUUUAUUUUUUUAUAACUGUUGUGAGUAGUGAGUUAAGAAACGGCAGCUUGGUACACUAAAGUGCCCUGCGAUGUGCAAUAUUCGGGGAAGGGUUGGACCAUAAGAGUUUAUUGUAUGCAGCCUUACCUUGCAUUUCUGACAAAGACUGUCUCUACGACUUGAAUCCAUGACCUCCUAAUCACACGACAACGACUUUACCAGCUAUUCUAAAGGCUUCCCUUCUAUUGAGUAUGUUGAGAAAUGAUUCUAGAAGAUACUUGACCAAGUCUUCAAGAAGUUAGUUGUUAGUUAGUUUCCUUUAUUCUAGCAAUUUUAGAUAGUGUUGCAGAUUAGUAGCUAGUCAUUAAAUCACUGGGUUAGUGUACCUAAAUUUUAGAGUUUUCAGUUUGAUUGUGUGCCUAUUUAAAGGCAGGUCUCUUUACUUUCAUAAUGCAAUCAGAAAUAAAAGAUCACUACAGUAGUUUUUAUCUCUUUUGCUCUGUUUUCUGUCCAGUUUCUCCUUUAGCUUCCUUUUUCCUUUCCAACAAAUCUGGUACCAGAGACCAAUUUCUUUUUCAAAUUGAGUGAAGCGUGGGCUUAUAUCAAUUGAGUAUUUAAGUGGAACGAAAGAGAAAGUGUGAGAGAAAAAGAGAAAUGACAGUAAAUCGUGAGGUUUCGCAGCCAUUUAUGCCAAUUUUUACUGGUGAAAAGUAUGAAUUUUGGAGUAUCAAAAUGAAAACUCUUUUUAAAUCACAAGGAGUUCAGGAGCUGGUAGAAGCAGUCUUUAUGGAUCAAGCAGGCUUUGACGAAGAGGCAGACAAAUUGAAAGGGAUAAAAAAGAACGACGCCAAAGUGUUGUUCCUGAUUCAACAAGCAAUCCAUGAGAUUAUUUUUGCAAGAAUUGCAACAACAACUAUGUCUUCGGAGGCAUCAAAUAUUUUGAA